rnacentral:lncRNA from 1 species
AUUAAAUUUUUAAUAUUAAUAUAAUAUAAUUAAUUACACCAAAUUUCAAAUUCAAGCCCUUUCUCUUUCUCUCUCUCUCUCUCUCGUCUCUAUCCUCUCCCUACCCCUUCUCCCAUCGGAGUGGCCAUCAGCUCCAGCGACCGCUCCGGUGACUGCUCCGACGACCACUUCGACAAUUGCUUCAGCUCCGACGAUAGAAAAUUCUCCAAAAAUUGAAAACAAUUUCUCUCUCUAUACUCCACCGUAGAAAAAUCACCAAAAUCUUAUUUGUGAUUAGAUUUAUUUUUCUUAAUUAUACUUGUGUUUUAUGUGACUAUUUUUUACCAAAUUUGUUUUUCACUUCGACAAUAUGUGGCCGUCUAAUUUGCAACUGUAUGUAAUCAAUUCACUGACCUAUGUUAUUUGUGAUUAACUGUGACCAAAUUUAAAUUCAGUGUGACUGUUUGAGACCAGACCAAUCAUAACUGUGACCAAGUCACAACCGGUGAUAAUUUACAAAAAAAUUGGUCACAAACAGUCACAACAAACACCUUCGACCAAUAUUACAAUUCACCACUACCAUAACCUCCAAUGCACCACCACUAACACAUUUAACUUAAAUUGACAACUAUAAAUACUAAAUUCACCUCAAAUCCACAACAAGAAUCUCGAAAUCACAUACGCCAGACGAAGACACCACCGCAUAAAUGCUUUACACACCGUGAAGAUCUACACAUCACCGCACAAACACUCUACACAAUAGUGAAGAGUACUGGAGCACCGCUAUUGGAGGAGGCUGAACAACGGUGAAAAUAGAGAAAGAUAGAGGAAUCGCUACACAGCAGUUCAUCCAAUCCAUUUCGUCUGAUCACCACUCUUACCACAGCACUACUACUACCUCCAAACCUCAUUUCAUCUGAUCCAUUCCGUCCCAACACCACUUCUACUAGUACCAUCACCACAACCCAAAACAGCAUCACAAACAGGCACCCACCCAACCCACUACCACACAACCCAAAAUAGCAAUCCAAAUAGGCAGUGCCCAAAACAGCAAACAACAAAUAUGGAAAGGGAGGCGAAGCAGGCGCCUCAAUCUCUACCUAAAACAGGGGCGUCAACCCAAAAACAUGUGGUCGAGGUGGCAGCAGCAUGAAUCUCUCAACAAGGGAAGGGUCAGAGGUGGUCAUGUCAAUGAGGACAUUGGGGAGGUGGAGAGUGUGUCUGUAGUAGAGAGAGAGAGAGAGAGUUGUAUUAUAGAGAAUUUAUUUGAUAGAAAGAGAAUUGCUAUUUCUGCAAUUGAGG